GAUGAACGCUGGCGGCGUGCUUAACACAUGCAAGUCGAACGGAAAGGCCCAAGCUUGCUUGGGUACUCGAGUGGCGAACGGGUGAGUAACACGUGGGUGAUCUGCCCUGCACUUCGGGAUAAGCCUGGGAAACUGGGUCUAAUACCGGAUAGGACCACAUUUUGGAUGGUGUGGUGGAAAGUUUUUCGGUGUGGGAUGAGCUCGCGGCCUAUCAGCUUGUUGGUGGGGUAAUGGCCUACCAAGGCGUCGACGGGUAGCCGGCCUGAGAGGGUGUACGGCCACAUUGGGACUGGGAUACGGCCCAGACUCCGACGGGAGGCAGCAGUGGGGAAUAUUGCACAAUGGGCGCAAGCCUGAUGCAGCGACGCCGCGUGGGGGAUGACGGCCUUCGGGUUGUAAACUCCUUUCGCUAGGGACGAAGCGUUAUGUGACGGUACCUGGAGAAGAAGCACCGGCUAACUACGUG
rnacentral:rRNA from 1 species